AAUACAGUCCAUUUACCAUACACUAUACCAUAAUUUCCGGUGGGGACUUUCAUAUUACAGUGGCCCAUCCUAAGGAGAGGCUGAUGAAGUCAAAGAGGUUACCAGCGAAAGCAGCACUGACAUUAGUGAACCAUCUGCAAAGGAAAGUGAAUCACUGAUGGAGACAAGUCCAACAUCUCAGAGUGUUUCUGCAAACACCAAACAAGUGAUCCCUGACCUCACACUUGUGUUGAUUGGUGACACAAAUUCCACUGAGAUUGGAUCAAACAACAUCUUACUUGAUCCUGAUGAACAAACAGAUGUGGAGCAGUUUUCAUUCAGACUGUAUGAUCCGUGUAGUCGCCACAUCUCUGUCAUUAACAUGCUUGGUCUACAAAACACUGACCAGUUCCCAUUAAAUCAGGGAGUUGAUGCCUUUCUCUUACUGUUACCAAAUGGUCAGCACAGCAGCCAUUAC